AACAUUUCUCCAUGUCACUAAAUUAUUCUGCAUCAUCAUUUUGAUUCCCUAUCAUUUAUGACAUGGACACAUUAUGGUUUAUUUAGCCAGUUCCCUAGUAUGUGACAUUUAGGUUGAUUCCAAGACUCCAAUACUUUUUGUUUUUGCCACUAUAAUCAUUUCUUUAAUGAACAUCCUUGGAUUUCUUCUGUACAUCAAAAUUUAGCACAUCUUUAGAAGACUUUGACUGAUAUUGCCAAAUUAUUCUCCUGAAAGGGUGUACAUAUUUCUGACCAGCUGUGUAUGGUUGCCUUUUAUUGCAAUUUAAAAUGUAUUUGUCAAUUUGAUAGGUGAAAAAUGAGCAUCUCCUUGUUAAUUUUAAUAUCUUGGAUUACACGAGGCUGAACGCUCUCCUUGUGGUAAUUGGCCGGCAGGGAUCUCUUGUGCUCCCCUGCUUCCAGAUGAUGGAGUUUAAAGAGUCAUUAGUUAUCACUUAGGAAGAUGAAAUUGAGGCAGCUGCCAGGGAUCUGAGGGCAGUUAAAGUAGUUGCUAUUAGCCUUUAGAGCCUAAAACAAAUCUCCCCAAGUGUCUGUUUUCCAUCAUCCCUGAGCAGGCCUUCUAAUUUGAGGCUAUCUUGCUCCUCCAGGGCAGAACUGGAAUGGAGCAGGACAUGGGACACAAGAGGCUUGGGGGGACUUUAGGGUGCGGACAGGGUACCUGGCUCACUAAUCGAUCAAUUUUCUGUGCCUCCAGGCCUUCCUCUUUUCCUUCCCCUCAUUCACGCAGAUAAUCGUAUGUCAAAUAUCUUUGAUUGUGUUCUGCAGUGUCUGUUCCCUUAAAUAGUGAGGUAACGUGUCUGGUGCCAAAGCUGAUGUUCUGAGCCUGAGUUUAGUGGAUAACCUGCCAAGGCCCAGCUGUGUGUGGCUGCCAGGAUUCUUUAUGGCUAGGUGUGCAGGCCUGCAGGACUAGGGGAGGAGGGAUGUCAGAACAGGGAAGCCAUUUUGGGGAGGUGGUCGUUAUAGGGAGAGACACACUCUAAAUCAGAUCUCUAGCAUGUAACAUGCAAUGUGUUGGGACAGCCAGCAAUCUGGGCUGGUGUGGCUGGGCUUUGAGGACAAAUUGAUGCUCCAUGUUCCUUUCAUGAUACAAAAAUGACUGGCACCGUUCACUCCAGUUAGAAGGUCCACGGAUGGAUCUGGAACACAAAAUCAUGAGACUUUCUGCCAGUUUGGAUAACUGAGUUUACGAGGAGAAAAGCGAUGGUUGUUGGGAAGGCCCGAGGGGGAUGCUGGCUUCCUUCCAGCUGAUGCAGGUGGUGUGAGCGACUCCUGUGGAGGCCGGGCUAGGACAGCUCCUCCGUCAUCCUAAACUGGCAGGUGCUCCCGGAGGAGCAGCGUGAGGGAAACUGCACCGGCACCUGGAACGUGGGGACGAGGGUGGAGGUUUGAUGUCUCAUUUCCUGUCCUCAGAAUCCAAUAUAGUCAUAAAUAAGCCCAGAGAAGCAACUGGCAGAACUAAACAGGAAUGCCUAUUGUUUCCGAGGCUCUGGAGACUGAGAGGAAUUCAUAUUGCGUCUUUCACUUUGGAUUUUAACUCUGACAUAACUUGCCCCAAGCUAACUGUACUCCAUGGACAAAAAGAGCCCUGCGAGGUGACAUGACCUUCGCCACAGGAUGGACACCUUCACAACGGGAAAAAUGGGUUUGGCACAGGUGAGCUCUAAACUCUUCUGAGUCAUGCUCCUAGGCUCUAUGCAUCUCUUUACAAGUUAGAGGCCGGGUCUACCAGAGCCUCCCAACAGGGAUUCACAUCAGCCCUCCUUGCUGCGAAGGGACUUGGGCUCCUGUGGUGUUGGGCGCACAGAGGAGAGGACUUGGGAGGGUGGAUGGCACACACAGUGGCUGCCGUGGAGAGGAGCGCUACCCUGUGGAAGAAUCUGGAAGCAUUUGGAUGCACUUAGCAGUGUGCCAGCAUUUGUUAUCACGGUGAAACUGCUUUGUGUUUUCCAGAAUGUUUCUUGUAGAUCUGACUUGAUCUUCAUAAUAUAAAAGUAUUUCCCAGAGGUUUGUUGAAUUCCAAUUUUUCAUUAUUUGAACAACUCCUCAGGCUCCUAGUGGGUGCAGUUAAUAACAGGUGCGCAGAAGCAGCUGGGUGUGUGUUUUACGAGCCAUGGCAGCACAUGUCUGAGGAGGAGGGCAUGGACCCUCAGUGCGGGUGGGGGCGCUGUGGGGCAGCGGCAGCAGAGCGAAGAUCGCAGUCAGACCACAGGAGAUGCCCUGGAGGCUUAGCUCCUGCUCCACCUGGAGGCAUCAAAGCCUUGUCUUCUGUUCCAGAAUCUAUGUGUAACUAGAGUGGGAGACCCUUUCACCUGCAAGCUGCUAUCUUGGCUGCAUGAUUUUCAAUAGAUUACUUAAGUUCUCCAGGCCUUAGUUCUCCUCCGUAAAAUGAGAUAAUAAUAGUGUCCAUCUCAAGGAAUUGUGUGAAGAUUAAGUGAAUUAAUACCUUCAAGAAAAGAGCACUUAGAGCACAGAGUUAGCACUCAAUGCAUAUUAACUAUUAUGAUGACAAUAGUAGUCAUGACUGUGAACACUGGGUGUCACAGAAGGAGGCAGCUGGGGAGAGCUAGACAGUGCCCCUGUCUCCCUGCAGGGUUCCAGCAAAUCCCCACUGUACACCUUCAUGACCUUGUGGGAGACAUGGUGAAGAGCAUAAGAGGGAAGGGUGAUGGAGAAGCAACCAGGCCUGUGAGUUUAUGAAACAACAGGUCAAAAUGGGAAACUUGACCUUGAGAAUGUUAUUAAUCUCUGCAAUUACACUGAAGUGUAGUUCUUAAAGAACUACAGCAAAGAAUUGACUUCUCAAAGGGGACCCCAAGAAUUGAAAGAGUAUAAUGCUGACCUCUAACCCUUGUCCUUGCUAUGUAUCAGCUGUGUAACCCUGGGCUAGUUACUUAACCUCUCUGAAUUUUAGUUUCCUCAUUUGUAAAAUGGGAGUAAUACUUUACAGGGCUGUUGGAAUUACCAAAUCAGAUGACAUCUGUAGAAUUCCUAGCAAGUUAAGUUCUUAGGACCUGGUGAGGACUUAAUAAAAGCCCAAUAUCAUUCCUAUUAUUGAUAUAUUAAUGCCUAUCAUUACAAGCUACCUUACAGCUUGCAGUUUACAACCCAGGGGACAGGUUACUUUCACAGCAGGGCUAGUCCUGUGAUGGUCUGCUCCCGCAUCUUGAAAGAUGUUGACACCCACAGGAUUCUCCCACCUUGCCUGGGCCUGACCUUCUGAGCUCAGUGGUUUCCAUGGGAACGUGUCCAGGGUGUGCAAGGGCUGAGUCGGAGUCCGUCUGCCUCUGCUGUAUCCACAGCCCUACGAACAGGGAGUGGCCCACGGCUCCUCUCGGAUGAUCAGGAUUUUUGAGGAUUUUUUGAGGUGUCCAGACUUAAACCCUCCUUUUCAUUGAUCCCUCCUGUAGGGUAAAUCCUAGGAGCAGGAUUGCAGGAUUAGAGGGCAGGUGUAUGGUUAACUUUUAAAGAGAACGCCAACUGCUUUCCAACGUGGUUGUGCCACUUUACAUUCCCACCAGUUCUGAUUGUACCAUCGCUCCAGCCACAUUUUCUGUUCUUCCCCACACAUCAAAGUCAGUGUUUUUCUAACUCUAAACUAUAUAUAGGUAUAUGUUUUUAAGUAAAACCUUAUAAAAGAAAAACGGUCCUCCCUAGACCCCCAGUAUAUAGAGCAUAUGGGAAGAUGGCUGCUUUGGUGGGAGGGCUGGGGAAGUGCUUGGAGCCCGGAGCAUGGGGGCACCUUUGUCUGCUCCGGCCCCAGGGAGCAGAGUGAGGAGCCCUGAACGUGUGGGUCCGGUUCAGUCAGUUACCUUUGAGCGGAGCAGCGGGCCUGCCAGAGGGGUAGUGAUGCAGCCCAGGAUGGGCCAGCCACACCCCGGCCAGCCUCGGAGAGCCGUCCAUGGGCCGCACCAGCAGCCAAGGGCAGGCCCCACAGGCCCGGGCAAAUGCAGACACCGGGCUCGGGGGUGAUGUUCCCCGGUGGGGAACAUCAGGAUAUGCAGCCUACCUUUCCAUCACCACCGCGUGUCAGUCAAACUUACUCCAUUUCCAAAACAAAUAUCAGAAGCUGUGGGACUCCAGAUAUGAGGAACAAAGAAACAAAUUUGGAACAUUGUGCUCGAAAAAGAUUUUAAUAAAGAUUGAACUGGCUGGGUGCAUAGAUUCUGCCACUCUUCUUAUUCUGAUCUUGACAGUGAUGCAGGGUGAGAAUGGAAAGCUGAGCCUAAGGCAAUUCAUUUUCCUGAUGGCCUUUGCCUGGGCCCUCCACCUGUGCCCACCUGGCCAGGGGCCCGGGGAGCCCCCUGCUCACCAAGCCCUCUGCGUGCUCCUUCCUCCUCCUCCUGCUUUUAUUAUGGAAACAUUUAAACAGCAGACAGAAAGUACCCAAGCCCCUUUGUACCCACAGCCCAGUUUCAGCAGUCGCCAGCACAAUGUCUUUUCAUCUCUACCCUCCUCCCUCCCACAGAUGAUUUUGAAUCACAUCCUGGACGUCAUAUUACUUCAUUCAUUGAAGAUGCCAGGACCAGGAGAACAUCCCAGGCUACAGGAGAUGGUGACUGGGAGACUGCGAGUGCCUCGAGGGCAAGGAUGGCCUCUUUCUCAUCUUUGUCCCUCUUCACCUGCCUGGGCACAGCCAGCCUGAGCUGUUGACGGAAGGGAACGUGUGAGGAGCGGAUGCGACACUGUCCGCCAGAGGGCGUCGGCUGCUGCAUUGCUUCCUUCUCAUUUCUGGAAUCUCUUGGACGGCCAGGAUGUGACAGAUUGGCCAGAUCUGAAAUGCCCCUGAGGCUCUAAGAGUUCCUGCUUCUCAUCUUCUUGGUGUUAUGCCCUUUCCUCUGAAGGACCUGGGCUGCUUGGCUGGUGUUGACUUCCCUCUGCUGUGAGCCCGACUUCCCCAGGGAACCCAAGGGCCAGGGUGGAGCCCACCGGCUUCCUCUGGGCUCUGGCUGGGAGACCGCCUGCCCUGAAGGACUGAGCAGUCCUUAUUCUCCCUGACCCCUGAGCUCCUAUCAUUCAGCCUGAGACUGAUAGGACUCCUGGGAUCUGCUGGGGCAUCUCAGGUGGGCAGGGGAAGAGGCCUCUCUGUAACUGGACUUCAUCUAUAGUUUCUGGAAGGAAAUUGGUCCUUGUGUCUUUCAAGUUAUCUGUCUCCAGGCAUCCUGCAGGUCGGUGCCUGGUCUUCAGAAAGUCCUGUUGUAAGAGGAAGACAGCAAACUUGGGGCCUGCCCCCUUAAGUCACUUAUGGGGGGUGGGGAUGAGUUAGAUAUGAACACUUCAGAAGCACACCUGGACAAAUGCAGUAAACUGGAGGUGAACAAAGGCAUGGAUCCUGUCUCAGGAGGGCACAGUGGAGUAGGUGAGGAGAUGAGGCAGUCGACCCCAGAGCCCAGGGGUGGGAGAAAGUGUGCAGGAUGUGAGCUCUCUGCCUGGGAGCUGGAUAUGCCCAUUUGGUGCUGGAUGAGGGAAAAUAUGUGUCAUGUGUGCAUUUUAUUUCUCUCAUCCACAACUUGCUGUCUUUGUACAUAUUCCAUCUUGGAUGAGUAACAGGGUGAGAGGUCAAUGCCAAAAGGGACUCAGUCAAGUACAGAGGCAGGAAAUCUGUUCAGUCUUCUCCCAGAGGACAGAUCUGGGACAAGCAUAUCAGAAAGCAAAGUGAUGAGGUCCAAUUGGACAGAUUUGAUUUUGGGGUUUUGUAGGUUCAUCUGACUUCAUUCUGGAGCCUGUUAGAAUUUUAUGGCAUGGAAAGCUGGAACUAUUUCCCAAGGACACUGGCACAAACAGGGACACCCAGUCCCAGCUGUGGUCUCCACAGGGGGAUUUAAAUGAACCCUCUUGGCUGACAUGAGUUCCAACAGUUCUUGUGGGACUGUUUCACUCACUAAAGCUCUAGUUUUGUUUCUCCUGGAUUGGACUUAAAAAAUAAAACCUCAAAAAACUGUGAAACACACUAUUAAAAAACAUGCACUCUGAGUCAAGCAUAAACACAAAGCUGUCUUUUUAUGAAGUCUGAGCUUUAUAAGGUUGCCAGAGUGUUUCUCCUUCGGUUUUAAAAAUUGAAGUUGGAAACCACUGAAGAGUGAAAAACAUGCCAUGAAGGAAAUUCUCAGACACUAAAUUCCCAGGUUUACAUCACAGACAAGUCAAUGUCUGUGUACAUGAGCCCCAAGGGCAAGGCUGGUUGGACAGAGCCAUGCCACGUUGGCGCCUCGGGGGACGCUGUGGAAGAUCAUUUGCUCCAGUGGAACUCCUGAAUAAUAACUGAGAUGUCAUGCUGAAGUUUUGUCAAAAUUUCUCAAUUUCUGGGUCACCUACGUCAUGUGUCUGUGUCCCAAAGUGCAGACCGACACACACACAUAGGAGCCACCCUCCAUUCUAAAUCCAUCUGGGUUGAACCCGAGUGGGCAGUAUGAAGACCAAGGCUUCAGGGUUGCUUUGGGAACAGUGCUCUGUCACUUGUCCCAUUUCCAAAGCUUUCAGGUUUGGGCUUUAACCUCCCAGCCCCAGUCCCUGUACCUUCUGGACACUCCUCUUCUGUACCUUCCAACAUGACCCCUUUCUCAACUAUUUUGUUUUCAGCUUUUAGAAAUGACUAGCGAACAAAGAACUCACCAUUCUUGGGCUAACCUCUGGGCACUCCUCAGAACUGAUGGUCCAUUUUCUACUGUAUUCUGUCGUCGGUGUGGGUGAGGGGAGAUGUUGGCAUCAAGAUUCCCAUUGUCUCAUCCUGAGGGCAAUCUCCCAGGCUGAUUUUGCAGGCUGACUCCAGAGUUUGGGGAGCCAGAACAGUGCUGCUUAAUAGCAACUUGGCAGAAUAGUUUUGUCGAAUCUAGGGCAAUACCAGGAGCUUGUAAUUUAAAAAACAUUUUUAUUAUAUAUUAUAAAAGAAUUGGACCAUGUAAAUUAGAAAUAAGCAGCUGCCAGUGCAACUGGAAUUCACAGAUGGUUUGAGACACACCAAGUGAGCUAGACUGUCCUAGAGCUUCUGUUGAGGAUCCAGAGGCUGAAAUGCUCCAAGAAGGGUAGUUUUUAAGCAUUAUGAGGUGUAGAUGGAAAAACAGAAAAUGGAAGUGCUUGCAGACGCCUGUGGAGUGAUACCUGUGAGACGGUGCUUGAGUUGAUGUGCCAGCUUGGCCCAAUGGGACAGGGAAAAUGGACAAUGUAUGGGCUUCCAUACUGUGAUUCUGGGUGGGUCAAGUCUACCCUGACCACUCCAUAUUUUUCUAGAGGAGGAUUAAGUUCUGGUUAUGGAUGAGAUUUUUGCUGCCCCCCAGCCCUCUCACAACCUCUGGGGACAAUAGGUUUUGGGCUGAUAGGGAGUCAGGGCUGUGGUUAGAUGCAAUGACUGUUCAAGGGACCAAGCCACGGUGCUUCCAUAGGAGUUGGGAUUCUCUCUGUACUGUGCCCUUGGCCCCCUUAUCAUCAGCAUGGAGAAUAUGAGAUCAUAGUGCCCACCUGUGCCCUCUGGACUCCUGGCUCCAAUCCACCACAGCCUCUUGCCAGCCAGUAUGCUGUGGAGGUGUUAACCAUAUCCCUUCAAUAAUGGAAUUAUUGAAUGGGGCGGGACCAUUAGGGGGAGUCCUGAAAGUUCACUCCUAGUAACCUUCUCUGCAGGAGUGAACAUUCUGCUAUAAGAGGCGCUGGCAAAGAGCUACAGCUUUGCCGAUAAACAUCACUGACCAACCUGUUUCCAGACACAUGCUGAGCCCUUCAUGAUCCCUCUCCUUUAAUGUCACAGCUCUCACAUUUACCCUCAUUUCACACAUUCCAAAAGUGAAGUUCAGCCUUUCUUUGGUGCACUAUCUUCUAUCCGUACUCAGCCAUACACUGAGCUACAACUCAUCCGGGUUAUGAGAACUUAACGUUAGGAGGAAUUUCACUGAACAUCUCAGCUUAUGAGGUAUUUCUUCAUGUUUCCAGAAACCCUUUUGGCUUUUGCAUGUCUCUUGAGCAACUUGAGCCUGGUGAAAAGAGAGUCACAGUGCAGUCAUUGUCAUAAUGUCAAGUUGUGGUUGCCUCAGACAAAUCUUGGUCUGCUAGGUUCGGUGGCAAAAACCUUUGUAUUGUAGGUUUUCUUUGGUCUUUGCCUUUUUUUUUUUGAAUUACAGGUUUAAUUACAUAAGCCUUGAGUAUCACAGGCCAAAGAACAAACCAAACCCAAGGCUCAGAGAGAUUAAAUAAUUUGCCCAACAUCACACAGCCAGAGAAUGCAGAAGCCAGAAUUCAAAGCCAGGUUAGUCUCGCCAGCCACAUGCUUAAUUGGCAUUAUUUAGAAUUUCUAUGUUAUAUAUCAUACUAUAAUUAGAGGCAUUAGAAUGAAAUUCAAGCCAUGUAAUUAAAACCCCAAGGUUCCAUGGUUUCUUUAUGCAAUCGUUAAGGGGUGAAAUAUGAUUUUAAAGGCAUCGAGGGUGGAGAGCAAGCUCUAAACAACACUAUCUGCCAGGUUAGAGUUCAUGUUUAGAAACAUGCCCUAGAGUCAGGUGAUGCAUGUAUUGCCUACUCUGGGCACAAAUCAAGCCUCAUACAUUUUUACACCUCUUUUCCUACCUUUUUGUUUUAAAAAAGCAGCUCAUAGUUGAAGACAU